GUUCAGUGGCGCACGGGUGAGUAACACGUGAAUUACAUGCCCUAUAGAGGGGGAUAGCCCAGGGAAACUUGGAUUAAUACCCCAUAGUCUCGCAAGAGUAAAUGUGGCCGCAAGGCUGUCGCUAUAGGAUUGGUUCGCGCCCUAUCAGCUUGUUGGUGAGGUAACGGCUCACCAAGGCUACGACGGGUACCUGGUUUGAGAGGACGAUCAGGCACACUGGAACUGAGACACGGUCCAGACACCUACGGGUGGCAGCAGUCGAGAAUAAUUCACAAUGGGGGCAACCCUGAUGGUGCAACGCCGCGUGGAGGAUGACGGUCUUCGGAUUGUAAACUCCUGUCAUCUGGGAGUAAGACCUGGGCAUUAAUAGUGCACAGGGUUGAUAGUACCAGAAGAGGAAGGGACGGCUAACUUCGUGCCAGCAGCCGCGGUAAUACGAAGGUCCCGAGCGUUGUUCGGAAUCACUGGGCGUAAAGGGAGCGUAGGCGGCGUGGUAAGUCAGAUGUGAAAUCCCGGGGCUCAACCCCGGAACUGCAUCCGAUA
rnacentral:rRNA from 1 species